rnacentral:rRNA from 1 species
GGAUCCAGACUUUGAUCAUGGCUCAGGAUGAACGCUAGCUACAGGCCUAACACAUGCAAGUCGAGGGGAAACGGCAGCUUAGCUUGCUAAGCUGGACGUCGACCGGCGCACGGGUGAGUAACGCGUAUCCAACCAGCCCCACGGUGAGGGAUAACCCGCGGAAACGCGGCCUAAUACCUCAUGGUCUCCGAGCUUGACAUCAACCUUGGAGUAAAGAUUCAUUGCCGUGGGAUGGGGAUGCGUCUGAUUAGCUUGUUGGCGGGGCAACGGCCCACCAAGGCAACGAUCAGUAGGGGUUCUGAGAGGAAAGCCCCCCACAUUGGAACUGAGACACGGUCCAAACUCCUACGGGAGGCAGCAGUGAGGAAUAUUGGUCAAUGGGCGAGAGCCUGAACCAGCCAAGUAGCGUGCAGGAAGACGGCCCUAUGGGUUGUAAACUGCUUUUAUGCGGGGAUAAAGGGGGCGACGUGUCGCCCUUUGCAGGUACCGCAUGAAUAAGGACCGGCUAAUUCCGUGCCAGCAGCCGCGGUAAUACGGAAGGUCCGGGCGUUAUCCGGAUUUAUUGGGUUUAAAGGGAGCGCAGGCCGGGUAUUAAGCGUGUUGUGAAAUGUAGGCGCCCAACGUCUGCACCGCAGCGCGAACUGGUGCCCUUGAGUACGCACGACGUUGGCGGAAUUCGCCGUGUAGCGGUGAAAUGCUUAGAUAUGGCGAAGAACUCCGAUUGCGAAGGCAGCUGACGGGAGCGCUACUGACGCUCAUGCUCGAAAGCGCGGGUAUCGAACAGGAUUAGAUACCCUGGUAGUCCGCGCGGUAAACGAUGGAUGCCCGCUAUUUGCGCAUUAGCGCAAGUGGCCAAGUGAAAACGUUAAGCAUCCCACCUGGGGAGUACGCCGGCAACGGUGCAACUCAAAUGAAUUGACGG